rnacentral:tRNA from 1 species
GGGGGAAUAGCUCAGCUGGGAGAGCAGUAGACUGAAGUUGGUUUCCUAAUUAGGAAAUUGAGUUCUAAAGGUCCCCGGUUCGAUCCCGGGUUUCCCCA